CUUCUUAGAGGGACUAUCGGUGUUUAACCGAUGGAAGUUUGAGGCAAUAACAGGUCUGUGAUGCCCUUAGAUGUUCUGGKCCGCACGCGCGCUACACUGAUGAAGUCAACGAGUUCAUUUCCUUUAUCGGAAGAUAUGGGUAAUCUUUUGAAACUUCAUCGUGAUGGGGAUAGAGCAUUGCAAUUAUUGCUCCUGAACGAGGAAUCCCUAGUAAGCACAAGUCACUAGCUUGUGCUGAUUACGUCCCUGCCCUUUGUACACACCGCCCGUCGCUACUACCGAUUGAAUGGCUUAGUGAGGC
rnacentral:rRNA from 1 species